rnacentral:rRNA from 1 species
ACUAAGUAUCAACAACGGAUCUCUUGGCUCUCGCAUCGAUGAAGAACGCAGCGAAAUGCGAUAAGUAAUGUGAAUUGCAGAAUUCAGUGAAUCAUCGAAUCUUUGAACGCACCUUGCGCUCCUUGGUAUUCCUUGGAGCAUGCCUGUUUGAGUAUCAUGAAAU